AGGACGAACGCUGGCGGCGUGCCUAACACAUGCAAGUCGAGCGAGUGGAUUCCUUCGGGAGAGAAGCUAGCGGCGGACGGGUGAGUAACACGUGGGCAACCUGCCUCAUAGAGGGGAAUAGCCUCCCGAAAGGGAGAUUAAUACCGCAUAAGAUUGUAGUUUCGCAUGAAGUAGCAAUUAAAGGAGCAAUCCGCUAUGAGAUGGGCCCGCGGCGCAUUAGCUAGUUGGUGAGGUAACGGCUCACCAAGGCGACGAUGCGUAGCCGACCUGAGAGGGUGAUCGGCCACAUUGGGACUGAGACACGGCCCAGACUCCUACGGGAGGCAGCAGUGGGGAAUAUUGCACAAUGGGGGAAACCCUGAUGCAGCAAACCGCCGCGUGAGUGAUGACGGCCUUCGGGUUGUAAAGCUCUGUCUUCAGGGACGAUAAUGACGGUACCUGAGGAGGAAGCCACGGCUAACUACGUGCCAGCAGCAGC
rnacentral:rRNA from 1 species